GAUGAACGCUGGCGGCGUGCCUAAUACAUGCAAGUCGAGCGAACAGAUGAGGAGCUUGCUCCUCUGACGUUAGCGGCGGACGGGUGAGUAACACGUGGAUAACCUACCUAUAAGACUGGGAUAACUUCGGGAAACCGGAGCUAAUACCGGAUAAUAUAUUGAACCGCAUGGUUCAAUAGUGAAAGACGGUUUUGCUGUCACUUAUAGAUGGAUCCGCGCCGCAUUAGCUAGUUGGUAAGGUAACGGCUUACCAAGGCAACGAUGCGUAGCCGACCUGAGAGGGUGAUCGGCCACAAUGGAACUGAGACACGGUCCAGACUCCGACGGGAGGCAGCAGUAGGGAAUCUUCCGCAAUGGGCGAAAGCCUGACGGAGCAACGCCGCGUGAGUGAUGAAGGUCUUCGGAUCGUAAAACUCUGUUAUUAGGGAAGAACAAAUGUGUAAGUAACUAUGCACGUCUUGACGGUACCUAAGCAGAAAGCCACGGCUAACUACGU
rnacentral:rRNA from 1 species